UACGGAGGGUGCAAGCGUUGCUCGGAAUUAUUGGGCGUAAAGGGCAGGUAGGGGGUCUUAUUUGUCUAGGGUGAAAUCCUUGAGCUUAACUCAAGAAGUGCCCUAGAAACGGUGAGACUAGAGUCUUGGAGAGGGUCGUGGAAUUCCCGGUGUAGCGGUGAAAUGCGUAGAGAUCGGGAGGAACACCAGAGGCGAAGGCGGCGACCUGGACAAGUACUGACACUCAACUGCGAAAGCGUGGGGAGCAAACAGG
rnacentral:rRNA from 1 species